CAGCCGCCGCGGUAACACAGAGGAUGCAAGCGUUAUCCGAAAUGAUUGGGCGUAAAGCGUCUGUAGGUGGCUUUUCAAGUCCGCCGUCAAAUCCCAGGGCUCAACCCUGGACAGGCGGUGGAAACUACCAAGCUGGAGUACGGUAGGGGCAGAGGGAAUUUCCGGUGGAGCGGUGAAAUGCGUAGAGAUGUGGAGGAACACCGAUGGCGAAGGCAGCCCCCUGGGCCAAUACUAACGCUCAUGCACGAAAGCGUGGGGAGCAAACAGGAUUAGAUACCCCCGUAGUCCCUGUCUCUUAUAC
rnacentral:rRNA from 1 species